rnacentral:rRNA from 1 species
GAUGAACGCUCGCUACAGGCUUAACACAUGCAAGUCGAGGGGAAACGAUGAGAGAGCUUGCUCUCUUAGGCGUCGACCGGCGCACGGGUGAGUAACGCGUAUCCAACCUACCCAUUACAGGGGGAUAACCUUGCGAAAGUAAGACUAAUACCCCAUGGCAUUUUAUGGUGGCAUCAUUAUAGGAUUAAAGAUUUAUUGGUAAUGGAUGGGGAUGCGUCUGAUUAGCUUGUUGGCGGGGUAACGGCCCACCAAGGCAACGAUCAGUAGGGGUUCUGAGAGGAAGGUCCCCCACAUUGGAACUGAGACACGGUCCAAACUCCUACGGGAGGCAGCAGUGAGGAAUAUUGGUCAAUGGGCGAGAGCUUGAACCAGCCAAGUAGCGUGCAGGAUGACGGCCCUAUGGGUUGUAAACUGCUUUUAUAGGGGAAUAAAGUGAGCUACGUGUAGUUUAUUGCAUGUACCCUAUGAAUAAGGACCGGCUAAUUCCGUG